ACUCCUACGGGAGGCAGCAGUGGGGAAUUUUGGACAAUGGGCGAAAGCCUGAUCCAGCAAUGCCGCGUGAGUGAAGAAGGCCUUCGGGUUGUAAAGCUCUUUUGUCAGGGAAGAAACGGUGAAAGCUAAUAUCUUUUGCUAAUGACGGUACCUGAAGAAUAAGCACCGGCUAACUACGUGCCAGCAGCCGCGGUAAUACGUAGGGUGCAAGCGUUAAUCGGAAUUACUGGGCGUAAAGCGUGCGCAGGCGGUUUUGUAAGUCUGAUGUGAAAUCCCCGGGCUCAACCUGGGAAUUGCAUUGGAGACUGCAAGGCUAGAAUCUGGCAGAGGGGGGUAGAAUUCCACGUGUAGCAGUGAAAUGCGUAGAUAUGUGGAGGAACACCGAUGGCGAAGGCAGCCCCCUGGGUCAAGAUUGACGCUCAUGCACGAAAGCGUGGGGAGCAAACAGGAUUAGAUACCCGGGUAGUCCCA
rnacentral:rRNA from 1 species